rnacentral:lncRNA from 1 species
UGGCAUGAAAUGUCAACAUAAUAGUCAUCGAAAUUGGCCAUCCAAUUGCUGUAAAGGACACAUUAUGUCUGUUUACAUAAUUGAAGAAUCAAGAGUCGAAAAUUAAAAAUAAAUAAAUAAACUAUUAUUUAGUGCCCUAAAUUAAUGAUGCCAAAAACAUCUUUUCUGUUGCAUGUCUUAACUCAUUUUAUAUGGCAUCUAACAAAAAUAAUCUAACAUCUCUGGACCCUCAAAAAUCAAAGUGACACAGCCGGACCUUCAAUAUUAAUUAUUGUUGCAAAACUCAACUACUAAUAUUAAUUGCUAUUAACUUGCUAAAUUGAGACAAGCUGGUGAUUGCAUAAGUAGAUAUGAAAAAUAACUUGCUUACUUCAUAUAUAUCUUCUUUUGAGCACAUAUGAAAAAACCCGUACUCAUAUUGACCAAUCCAUAAACUAGAUCGUGACCCGCUCUUGAAAUAUUGUUUGUUCCUUCACCUUGUAGCCUCACGGUUUUAUCCUUUAUAAGAAAAGGGUUCUAAAAGUGAAGAGAUGGUAUUGAAUCCUAUAAAACUCAGGUUCUCUUAACUCUUAAUUAAUGU